rnacentral:rRNA from 1 species
UGGGGAAUUUUCCGCAAUGGGCGAAAGCCUGACGGAGCAAUGCCGCGUGGAGGUGAAAGGCCUACGGGUCGUCAACUUCUUUUCUCGGAGAAGAAACAAUGACGGUAUCUGAGGAAUAAGCAUCGGCUAACUCUGUGCUAG